CCGUCUCUUAUUUCCUCCAGACAGACUUCGUAAGUUUACUACUCUUCUUUGUCCCAUCAUCCCCAUCUCUUACAAGCCUACACACUAGCAAAGUAGCUAGCACAUAGCAGGUACAUAUAAUGGAUGCUCCCUGAAGAGAACAGAACCAGAACUGCUAUGUACAAAUGGAGGUAACUUUACAAUAAAGAUAUUCAUUUCAUGAGAAUGAUUUGAUGGCUAGAAGAGUUAACAUUUAUUUUUAAUUAUAGCAAGUCACAGAGUUGUUAAAUAUGACUGUAAGCUGGGGAUUAUUCACCAGUUACACGAGCUGGUAUGCAUGCAUUAUGUCUGGAGGUAAUGAACUGUAAAUCAUUGAAUUACAGUACAGAUACAUCAGCUAGUGGGGCAUAAGGAGGGAAAACAGCAGAGUCAAGGCUUCCACAGCUCACUAAACCAGGUUUAGCAUCAGCAAUAUUUAUUCUCUUAACACCAGCUAGACUUCACCAUCAGUAAUCCCAAAUGACCAUGCUCAUCCAGUACAAAAGGAAUUCAAUCACAGCUGUGGCAAUCUGUUAAACACUAAUCAAAAUCACAGGUAGCCAUUCUAUGUUCCUUCCAUCAUUUAAUUAAAAAUUUCUUACAAACAUUAAUGUCUAUGAGAUUUAUUUGCAAAGAUCCUAGUUCAAAUCAAUCCAAAAUUUAGAAUUGUAGUACAGAUUGCACAUUUUAAACACCACUUUAACAACAUAUGCAAAUACAGUCAACCCUCCGUAACCAUGUAGGAUUUGUGAAUUCAACCAGGAUGAAAAAUAUUUGGGAGGGGGUAGGGAGGAGGCAGAAUGGUUGCAUCUGUACCGAACAGGUAUAGACUUUUUGUCUUGUCAUUAUUAUUCCCUAAACAAUACAGUAUAACAACUAUUUACAUAGCAUUUACAUUGUAUUACGUAUCAGGUAAUUUAGAGAUGAUUUAAAGUAUCAAGAGAAUGUGUGUAGGAUAUAUGCAAACACUACACCAUUUUAUAUAAGGGACUUGAGUAUCUGUGGAUUUUGGUAUCUGAAGAGGACGGGGUUGACCUGGAAUCAAUCCCUCAAUAUACUGAGGGACAACUAUAUACAGAAAUGGACAGAUCAACACAAACAGAAAAUAAUUUA
rnacentral:lncRNA from 10 species